AAAUAAUUAAACAGGAAGCCAGGGAAAGCUGAGCCCCAGGUGAGCUCCUCUCUGUCUCAGCUUCUCUCUGCUCCCUGCCCAGACCCAAAGACUUUGAGUUCUUUCUUCCCUCCCCUGUCUCAUUCAACUGAACAAAUCUUAAAGUGUUGACGUUCACCCUGCUGUCUAUGACUUCAUUCCUGCUCAUCUUUUCUCUCAUUGAUGAAGGGAACAGAGGCAUUAAGCCUGGAAAAGUGACAAGGUAGUAUUUACGGUGUAUCAAGAGAAAGAGGAAAGAAAAGAGAUGAUGACCAUGACUGAAGAAGUAGCAGCAUGACUGUGAAUGCAAGUGGGAUGCUCCAGCAGGCAGGUUGACCUGGGUAUCCAAGAUUGGAGCCAUGAUCAGCACUGCCUGAUAUUAGAUGAGUUUCAGAAGCCACCAUCACUCCUGUUUGCCUGCAGAAAGAAGUCACUGAAGAGAAGAGGUCAAACCGAGAGAGAAGGAAAGAGGCUGACUAUUGCCUUUUUAAUAUUAUCCGGUUCUAACUAUGUAGCCACAGCCAAUCAAAGGGACUCCUUGUAAUAAUGUGGCAAGUGAACUGUAACCAGUUACAGAACAUCUGCGCAUCCAAAGUCUCUCCAAGCUCUAUUUGGUUAGAACUCCAAGGAACAUAAUGAAGACUCACCUAGGAGAAGCUGAUCAGCCAAAACUCAUCAUCAUGCUGUUAAUUCAGCCUUGGAUACUCAGUGGUCCUUCCUGGCCACACAUUCCCCUUUCCAAUAUUUUGACUGUUCUCUGGUGGUAUCUUUUCCCAUUAGAGUGUAAACUUCUUGAAGGCAGGGUCUUUUUCUUAUUUGUAUCACAAUGCUUCACACAAUGCUUGGCACACAGUAGGUACUCAAUAAAUAUUUACUGAAUUGAAUUGAAAUUGUACCUAAUGCUCCAUAACACCUCUCCCCCUCCCAACCCCAGUUGCAAUUAUUGACCAAGGUUAUCUGAGUAUCAUAGGCAGGGCACUUAGAAUCCAUCUAGCCCAUAGAGGCCAUCUAACCCAAAUGCUUCAUUUUACAGAUGAAAGAAUUAAAGUCCAGAAAGGUGAAGUAACUUGCCAAGUGUCACAUAGGCAUCCAAGGUGCAGAAAUGUAAUUUGAAACUAGUUUUCAUGAAUCCCAAUUCAGUGUGGAAGAAGAGUCAAAUAGGAUGGAGACUGGCAUAAGACUGCAGCUACCGGUUACUUUAGAAGGAAGAAUUUCAGUAAAAAUGGUAGUCCCCUGUAUGAUAUUGCCUCUCCUGCAUUAGAAACAAUCUAAAAAGGCCAGCAAAAUUGUUCAGGUUAGCAGACAAAAAGUGCUACCAAUGUUGUUAUAGUGAAAAGAACUGGACCCACUUCUCAGCAAAUGGGCAGAGAAAUUUGCCUGCUGCUGGCUCAUCUGGAGCCUUGAGAAAGUCCAUGAUGAAGUAUUAUGGAGAGGCCCUGGAUCCCUCAGUGCUCAUGCACUGAGAAGUGAGUUUUCUUUGGUCCCAUUAUGUUAUCAUAACCCAAGUCAGAGGAGAAUGGUAAUAUUAAACUUUUUAUAUUAUUCUGAAAUCUGUCCAGCAUCAUCAUCAAUUUUCUGAAAUCUUGUUAGCAAUCACUUCUGGGUCACACAAUAUUUAGUGGCAAGAGGAAAUUAACAUUUCUUUUUUUAUUUUCUCUUUUUUUUAGGACUGGAACUUUUACUGAAACUCCACAAUCACCAAUAGCUAUGAUCUUUUCUAAAUCCACCCUUUUUGGCCCUUCUUCUGCACUACACUAAAAAACAAACAAACAAAAACUCUUACCUUCUGUUUUAGAAUCAAUAUUAAGUAUUGGUUCCAAGGCAGAAGAGGGGUAAUGGGUAGGCAAUUAGGAUUGAGUGAUUUGCCCAGGGUCACACAGAGGGGACAUGACUAAGGUCACAUUUGAACCCAGGAUCUCCCAUCUAUAGUCCUGGCUCUAUCCCCUGAUAUACUUAGCUGCUCUCCUUCUUCUGCAUUUGACACUACUGACUUAGACCUUCCUUCUUGAUACUCUCUCAGCCUUUUAACUUCUGUGACUGUAUCCUAUAUUGGUUCUUCUUGUCUGAAGGAACUCAUUUUUCAUGUUCUUUCUCUGAUUCAUUUUCAACUCAUCAUCUCUUGGUGGAUAACUUGCAUGUCUAUAAUUCUGCCUUCAGCAUCAUUCUCCAUCUCCACAUUUCCAGCUGCCCACUGAAUAUCUUCAUCUAGAUAUUUUGCUAGCACUUCAAAAUCAGCCUUUCCCAGCCUGAAAUCAUCACCCCCCCCCCCAAAGCUUCUACUCUUAACUUCUCCCAUGUCUGUUGAUGGAACCAACAUUCUCCCAUUAACCAGCACUUAAAUAUUGGACUGAUCUUCCUUUUCCCUCUCACCACAGACAAAAAGCUUGCAAGUCUUAAUUACCACAGUAGCAUUUAUUAUAUUUGUCAAUAAUCUUCCUAAUAUUAGGCCUGGCCAUCUAAUGAUCGUGCUAAAAAAUUUCAACAGUUCUCUAUUGCUUAAAUGAUAACUUGUAAACUCCUUAGUUAUUCUGAUAUUCAAAACCCACCUUUCUCUGGUACUAAACUACCUUCCCAGCCUUAUUUCACAUUAUUCCCCUUUAGUCUAGCCAGAUUGGACUACUAGCCAUUUCCAAAUCCUGCCCUGUCUUCUGUGACAUCUCUACAUUUGCCUACUCUACUUCCCCCAUUCCUAAAUGCUUUCACCAUCAUUCUUUCCCCCCCCCCAAAGGUCAACUUGUGAGCUACCUUGUCUGGUCUCCCUACCUAAAAGCGACCACACCUCCCCAAAGCUGUGGUAAACUUUGCCUUAGGACAUUCUAACUUUACAUAUUAGAGUUAUUUGUAGGAAAGCAGUUCUGCUAUAAGCCAUCAUAGGCAUUCUUCCAAAAACACUGCACUAUGUAGAAUCUCCUAAUGAAAACUAUAGAGUUUAUAUGGAAAAUGGGUUUUAGAGUACAACACUCAAAACCUUUGUCAAUGACAUGUAAAAAGGAUAGGAACUUAAUAAAAAUGAUAGCAUAGUUUAUACAUGUAAAAUGAAUAAGAAAUACAUAAAUACAAUAAAUAGUGUUUAUGUUUAUGACCUCAGGCCACUGAGUGGUAUGCAUGGAGGCUUCAUAAGCAAGGUGGGCAGGUAAGACCAACUGGUGCUGUGGGGAUAAGGUUGGGGAUGAAGGUUAGGGGUUAGGAUUCUAAGGACCAGCCCUCUUCAAUUCACAGUUCCUACUAUACCAAGAGAUAUACAAUAAGAUUGGCUCUUUACUUUUACAAAGACCUAAAGUUUGCUUGUGGAAGUGGCCAUCUGAAAGGUUGCAGCUUGUGAGUUAUUGUGAAGUAAUAGAGUUUUCUGUAUUCUAUCAUUGUUUCUCAGGGAAGAAAUGUUGCAGAAGGAAAAGCAAAAUUCAAGUUAUGCUUAAAAUGUUCCCUAAUAGCCAAUCAAGUUGGAAUAAAUUUAUAUUUUCAUUAUAGCAGCAUCAAUUGUACAUAUGUCUCCACUAGAGUGCAAGUUCCUUGAUGUCUGGGGCUAUGUAAUUUUUUCAUCUUUGUAGCCACAGCACCUUUUGAGGUAGACUUCACAUAACAGGUACUUAAUGGAUAUUUGUUGAAUUUUUCAACAAUGAAAUAAAUACUCAAAUGCUCCCAAGGAAGUAAUAUUUGUUGCCAUACAAAUGAAAUAGAUUCACAGAUUAAGAAGGACGGAAGGUACCUAAAAGAUCCAUGGUCCAACCAAUACCUGAAUAUUUUCUACACUAAUACUAUUUCUAUAGACAUCUAGCUUAAAAAUUUCCUUUGUAAAUAUUUAUAGUUGCACUUGUAUUGGCAAAAAAUUGGAAAAUGACGGAAUGCCUUUCAAUUGGGGAAUAGCUGAACAAAUUGUGGUAUCUGUUGGUGAUGGAAUACUAUUGCCCUAAAAGAAAUAAUGAACUGGAAGAUUUUCAUGUGAACUGGAAUGACCUCCAGGAAUUGAUGCAGAGUGAAGAGCAGAACCAGGUGAACAUUGUACAGAGAGAUGGAUAUACUAUGGCACAAUUGAACAUAAUGGACUUCUCUACUAGCAGCAAUGCAAUAAUCCAAAACAAUUCUGAAGGAUUUAUGAGAAAGAACACUAUCUAUAUCCAGAGAAAGAACUGUGGAAGUAGAAACACAGAAGAAAAACAACUGCUUGAUAACAUGGAUUGUUGGGGAUAUAAUUGGGGAUACAGACUAAACAAUCACUUUAUUGCAAAUAUUAAUAUUAUGAAAAUAGGUCUUGAUCAAUGACACAUGUAAAAACCCAGUGGAAUUGCUCAUUGGCUAUGGGAGGGGGUGGAAGGAGGGGAGAGAAAGAAAAUGAAUCAUGUAAUUAAGGAAAAAUAUUCUAAAUCAAUUAACUAAAUAAAAAAUUUUCAAAUCAAAACAAAUUUCCUUUGUAAAGUGUGGU